GUUGUGAGAGCAAGAGCCCGGAGAUGGAUUCUGAGACACGAAUCCAGGCCCUACGGGGCGCAGCAGGCGCGAAAACUUUACAAUGCGAGAAAUCGUGAUAAGGGAACCCCGAGUGCCCGUAAAUUCGGGCUGUCCGCCAGUGUAAAUAACUGGUGAAGAAAGGGCCGGGCAAGACCGGUGCCAGCCGCCGCGGUAAUACCGGCGGCUCGAGUGGUGGCCACUAUUACUGGGCUUAAAGCGUCCGUAGCUGGAUUGUUAAGUCUCUUGGGAAAUCCACCGGCUCAACCGAUGGGCGUUCAGGAGAAACUGGCAAUCUAGGGACCGGGAGAGGUGAGAGGUACUCCAGGGGUAGGAGUGAAAUCCUGUAAUCCUUGGGGGACCACCUGUGGCGAAGGCGUCUCACUAGAACGGCUCCGACAGUGAGGGACGAAAGCUGGGGGAGCAAACCGGAUUAGAUACCCGGGUAGUCCCAGCUGUAAACGAUGCGCGUUAGGUGUAUCGGUGACCACGAGUCAUCGAGGUGCCGAAGGGAAACCGUGAAACGU
rnacentral:rRNA from 1 species